UCAAACGUCUGACAAACGUCAACCGUCUGGGCCGAUUUCCGUUCAAACGUCAAACGAAGCUUCGACCUGUUCUUUCUCUUCACCGGCAAGCUUUGCCCGCUCUAGACGCCGCAUUUGUCGUUUUCGCUCCUAAUUUCUGUUCAAAAUGGUCACCCUCAAGGGACGCAGGAUUGCCAGGAAAAUGUGUGUCCACGCUCGAUGUGGUGAGCAAAGCCAUCCUGCAUUCGGGAUUCGUUGAGAUCGAUUUAAGAAGCACGUGCAUCUGAACCGUGCAACCGCAUGUUCUACCUCUCACGUAUGUGGACUCUGGUCCCGGAAUGGACGCCCACCGGAAAGCUGCACACCAAGAUGGUCCAAUUUGAUUACCUCAAGCUGUUCGGUUCCGGUAUGCUGCCGCCCAAGUCACACAUCCAUCAUUCGGAUUGGACACAGAGAUGAUGGAUGAUGAACCCCUCUGCCAAAUUGUCCCAAAAUUUGGUCGCCAAGCUUCGCGAGUAGCAAGUGGCUAACGGAGCGUUCCAGCAGCAGAAGAAGCCUGGAAGCCGGAAAUGGCAGACCAAGUGUGCUCCGGAGGUUCCUGUAUCUUCAGAAUGGCCUCCUCCACCAUUGUAUUCGGAGAGGCCUAAUUUUGUCGUCGAUGAAACCAUGCUACGUAAUAGUACAUUGAAAUACAACAUUUAAAUCGCCAACAAA